rnacentral:lncRNA from 1 species
CCCAGUCCUUGAAUGAAGCAGACCUGGAAAUAUUAUAAUUCCAGCAGUUCAUAGAUCCUACGCCAAGGGCAAAUUAUUUCUUUGAAAACACAGUUUAAACACCUUGCAAUUUUUGUUGCGAUUUCUGGUGGGAGUUUCUUCUGAUGCAUGUGAACGAGUAAUAUACAGGGUGUAUAAAAAAAAAGGUAAUCGAACAUCAGCGCGUUAUUAUACGUGAAUCACUCGGCGUAUGAACAAUUGGUUCUCAUAUUCGGAAAGACCAGGCUUUUAGCUAUUGAAUGACAUGCUUUUCAUACCAAGUGAAGAAAAAAUAAGCAUGUACGAGGCCGAUUAGUCAAAAUCGCAUAUUUUCACCUCUGUGCCUAAUUAAAACAAUGCAUAACAAAAGAAAAAGCAAUUAAUCACGAACGUGUCGUAGCUUAGCUAAGAUUUAUUCCUACUUAAUAAUAAUUAUGAAUAUGUGUGUAGUUUAAUGAAGUGAAAUUCAUCAACUCAAGUCCUAAAGGGAGUUCAUUUUCAAUGGUUUUAGACCCAACUCUCAACGGUGAAAAUAUGGGAUUUUGACUAGCAUUUUUUAUCGGAUUCGUAUUUGCUCAUUUUUUAUCCAUUUGGCAUGAAGAAGAUAUCAUUCAACAGCUAAAAGCAUGAUCUUUCCGAAUGUGAAAAAAUCUCGUUCAUAAGCAGAGUAAUUCAGAUACAAUAGCGCGUUGAAGUUCGAUUACCUUUUUUUUUUAUACACCAUGUAUGUUGUAGUAUAUGUAAUAAUAAUUGUAGUAUAUGUUAUGAAUGCUCUGAGUAUUUAUGUCUCACUGAUGUGGAAGAAGUCACAGUAAAACCCCGCAUAAAAGAACCAGUGAAUUUUGACUUCAGGCUGAAGUGGUGCUUAUAUAAUGGGUACUUUGAAAGAAAUCAGGCUGAAGUGAUUCUUACUGGUUCUUAUUUCCAGUCAAAAACAAUUGUUCCUGGUUUAGAGUUUUAAACCUCUUAUUGUAUAAAAUGAAACUAGUAAAUGAACUGUAAUUUAAUUAUUUUGAUAAAAUAAAUACAUGCAUGAUGUAGCUGAAAGAUAUAAUUCCUGCUAGCAAGAUUACAGUAUUAUGUUUUCAUCCUAGUACCUGCUUACUAAUUCAGCUAAAAGUUUAAUAAGGUUUUUUAAGAACCAGUUUCAUUUGUCAGCCUGAAGUGGUUCUUGUAUUUUGGGUGCUUAAUUGCCCAAAUCUCAGGCUGGUGGUUCUUAACCCACUGGUUAUUUUAUGUGGGGUUUUACUGCAUUUCGCUGACCUCAGAAUGACAUUUCGUCAAAACUUUUUUCUUCAAGAUUGGUUUAGAAACAAACUUGGGUAGGGUUAGGGUUAGUGUUGGUGUUAGGAUCAGGGUUAGAGUUGGUGCUUGGAAUAGGGUUAGUGAUAGUAAAACCGUUGCUUUGUUAUGUUUUGUCACUCUGAGGCCAGCGAAAUAACCUCUUCCCACUAAUGUAUUAACAUUCAUAACUCAUCCACUCGUUCACAUCCUUCACAAGAAGAAGAUCGCACCUUAAAUCGGGCCUUUAGGAAAACGGGAAAUCAUACAGCAUUACAAAAGGAAAUCAUGCUACCUCGCAAACUUCAACCCCUGCUGUUUAUUUUUAAUUUUUUUAUUUAUAUGAGUUUGCCAUAACGAUACAUUAGAAGUCACGAAACAAUACAUAUAUUCCACGUUUAUACAAGUGUAUACCAUGUGUUCUUGUAAUUUAUUUAAAAUGACGCUUGGAUACGGGUUUGCGGCAGCCUCAAUUUUUAUAAUAAUAUCGCUUUCACUGAUGAAGAUCCUGGCUUUGGGAUUUUUGGCUUCGAAAAAUCUGCGAAAUGAAAAAACCCUGGUGACUGGUGUUUUCCACAAAUUUAAUUAAUAGUUUUUUAUGACAAGAAUAUGAGAACAUUUAACAUUCUGGUUUAAUUAUUAAUAAAUAUUUUGUUGGUCAUCCUACUUUUUUUCUCGUGAAAUAAAAGAAUUCAGAGAAAUCUGUAACUAUGUCAAUAGUUUGUAUAGCCUCUUACCCUAAAAUAACCCUAAAUGUACUUAUAAUAUUCUAAAAUAUCCUAUACUUAUCCUUCGCAAAUUUCCGGAACCUUGUGAAGAUAUCACUCCAGUUGUAUACGAAGUUCACCAACACGACGUCAUGGUCAUAAAUAUCACUCCAGUUAUAAAACACGAAGCUCAUCGCUCUAAAUGACGUCAUUGCGUUCUUCAAUAUCGAAUGAUCGUAUUUUGAAAGCAAAAUAUUUUGAAUGCCGAACUAAUAACUUCUGCAAAAAAAUGCCACUUCGAACGAACUUCAGUCGAUUCAAGGAGCCUCGUGGGUUUAUAAAAGUUAUACAAUUUGUAAGUAUUGUUAAAGUGCGUGCAAGGAACGGCAGAUAAAAAAUUGACAGGCGAUGUUUGAGCGCCAUUUUCGCAUUUUGUGUAUGUUUAUAGUAUGUACAUAGUGACUUGUAAUUACGAAACAGCCGAUACGCCUAUGCUGACAAAAACACUGUCCCCUUUGAAUUUUGACCCCGAUCUUAGCAU